rnacentral:rRNA from 1 species
UUCUGGUUGAUCCUGCCGGCGGGCACCGCUAUUGGAGUUCGCUUAAGCCAUGCGAGUCGAGAGGGGUAAGCCCUCGGCGCACUGCUCAGUAACACGCGGACAAUCUGCCCUCGAGACGGGGAUAACCCCGGGAAACUGGGAAUAAUACCCGAUAGGUCUGAGAUGAUGGAAGGCUCUCAAGCCCAAAUCCUGCGGGGCUCGAGGAUGGGUCUGCGGCCUAUCGGGUAGUAGGGGGUUUCACGGACCCCCUAGCCAUAGACGGGUACGGGCUUUGGGAGAAGUCGCCCGGAGAUGGAUUCUGAGACACGAAUCCAGGUCCUACGGGACGCAGCAGGCGCGAAACCUCCACAAUGUGGGCAACCACGAUGGGGGAACUCCAAGUGCCUACACUUUUGUGUAGGCUGUUCUCGAGCCUAAAAAGCUCGAGAAGUAAGGGCCGGGUAAGACGGGUGCCAGCCGCCGCGGUAAUACCCGCGGCCCGAGUGGUGCUCAUUAUUAUUGAGCCUAAAGCGUCCGUAGCUGGCCGGGCAAAUCUCCGGGUAAAUCGGGCGGCUCAACUGCCCGAAUUCCGGAGACACUGCUCGGCUUGGGAUCGGGAGAGGGUGA